GACAGAGGCCUCAAGCGUUAGGCGGAAUCACUGGGCUUAAAGCGUGUGUAGGCGGAUCGUUAAGUGUCUUGUGAAAUCCCACGGCUCACCCGUGGAACUGCUGGGCAUACUGGCGAUCUUGGGCCAACUAGGGGCAACUGGAACAAGCGGUGGAGCGGUGAAAUGCGUAGAUAUCGCUUGGAACGCCAAAGGUGAAAAACAGGGUUGCUGGGG
rnacentral:rRNA from 1 species